CUGGCUCAGGAUGAACGCUGGCGGCGUGCCUAAUACAUGCAAGUCGAGCGAACGGACGAGAAGCUUGCUUCUCUGAUGUUAGCGGCGGACGGGUGAGUAACACGUGGAUAACCUACCUAUAAGACUGGGAUAACUUCGGGAAACCGGAGCUAAUACCAGAUAAUAUUUUGAACCGCAUGGUUCAAAAGUGAAAGACGGUCUUGCUGUCACUUAUAGAUGGAUCCGCGCUGCAUUAGCUAGUUGGUAAGGUAACGGCUUACCAAGGCAACGAUGCAUAGCCGACCUGAGAGGGUGAUCGGCCACACUGGAACUGAGACACGGUCCAGACUCCUACGGGAGGCAGCAGUAGGGAAUCUUCCGCAAUGGGCGAAAGCCUGACGGAGCAACGCCGCGUGAGUGAUGAAGGUCUUCGGAUCGUAAAACUCUGUUAUUAGGGAAGAACAUAUGUGUAAGUAACUGUGCACAUCUUGACGGUACCUAAUCAGAAAGCCACGGCUAACUACGUGCCAGCAGCCGCGGUAAUACGUAGGUGGCAAGCGUUAUCCGGAAUUAUUGGGCGUAAAGCGCGCGUAGGCGGUUUUUUAAGUCUGAUGUGAAAGCCCACGGCUCAACCGUGGAGGGUCAUUGGAAACUGGAAAACUUGAGUGCAGAAGAGGAAAGUGGAAUUCCAUGUGUAGCGGUGAAAUGCGCAGAGAUAUGGAGGAACACCAGUGGCGAAGGCGACUUUCUGGUCUGUAACUGACGCUGAUGUGCGAAAGCGUGGGGAUCAAACAGGAUUAGAUACCCUGGUAGUCCACGCCGUAAACGAUGAGUGCUAAGUGUUAGGGGGUUUCCGCCCCUUAGUGCUGCAGCUAACGCAUUAAGCACUCCGCCUGGGGAGUACGACCGCAAGGUUGAAACUCAAAGGAAUUGACGGGGACCCGCACAAGCGGUGGAGCAUGUGGUUUAAUUCGAAGCAACGCGAAGAACCUUACCAAAUCUUGACAUCCUUUGACAACUCUAGAGAUAGAGCCUUCCCCUUCGGGGGACAAAGUGACAGGUGGUGCAUGGUUGUCGUCAGCUCGUGUCGUGAGAUGUUGGGUUAAGUCCCGCAACGAGCGCAACCCUUAAGCUUAGUUGCCAUCAUUAAGUUGGGCACUCUAAGUUGACUGCCGGUGACAAACCGGAGGAAGGUGGGGAUGACGUCAAAUCAUCAUGCCCCUUAUGAUUUGGGCUACACACGUGCUACAAUGGACAAUACAAAGGGCAGCGAAACCGCGAGGUCAAGCAAAUCCCAUAAAGUUGUUCUCAGUUCGGAUUGUAGUCUGCAACUCGACUACAUGAAGCUGGAAUCGCUAGUAAUCGUAGAUCAGCAUGCUACGGUGAAUACGUUCCCGGGUCUUGUACACACCGCCCGUCACACCACGAGAGUUUGUAACACCCGAAGCCGGUGGAGUAACCUUUUAGGAGCUAGCCGUCGAAGGUGGGACAAAUGAUUGGGGUGAAGUCGUAACAAGGUAGCCCGU
rnacentral:rRNA from 1 species